rnacentral:rRNA from 1 species
GCGAGUGAACGGCAGAAGCUCAAAUUUGAAAUCUAGUACCUUCGGUGCUCGAGUUGUAAUUUGAAGAUGGUAACUUUGGAGUUGGCCCUUGUCUAUGUUCCUUGGAACAGGACGUCACAGAGGGUGAGAAUCCCGUCUGACGAGGUGAUCCAACUCUAUGUAAAGUGCUAUCGAAGAGUCGAGUUGUUUGGGAAUGCAGCUCUAAGUGGGUGGUAAAUUCCAUCUAAAGCUAAAUAUUGGCGAGAGACCGAUAGCGAACAAGUACAGUGAUGGAAAGAUGAAAAGAACUUUGAAAAGAGAGUGAAAAAGUACGUGAAAUAGUUGAAAGGGAAGGGUAUUAGAUCAGACUUGGCGUUUUAUGAUUAUCUUCUCUUCUUGAGUUGUGCACUCGUAUUGCGCUGGGCCAGCAUCGAUUCGGAUGGCAGGAUAAUGGCAAUUGAAUGUGGCAUCCACUUCGGUGUAUGUGUUAUAGCUUUUGUUGAUGCUGCCUAUCUGGAUCGAGGACUGCGUCUUUUGACUAGGAUGUUGGCGUAAUGAUCUAAUAUCGCACGUCUUGCAACAC